rnacentral:rRNA from 1 species
UACGUAGGGGGCAAGCGUUAUCCGGAUUUACUGGGUGUAAAGGGAGCGUAGACGGCGAUGCAAGCCAGAUGUGAAAGCCCGGGGCUCAACCCCGGGACUGCAUUUGGAACUGUAUAGCUAGAGUGUCGGAGAGGCAGGCGGAAUUCCUAGUGUAGCGGUGAAAUGCGUAGAUAUUAGGAGGAACACCAGUGGCGAAGGCGGCCUGCUGGACAUUAACUGACGCUGAGGCGCGAAAGCGUGGGGAGCAAACAGG